rnacentral:lncRNA from 1 species
UUCAGCCUGCCUAUCUUGGUAUUUUUAGCUAUCAAAAACUAUAUAUUGUUUUCUCAAAUGUUUCAAGUAACUCUUUUCCUGAUUUAUCUCAACUUUGUGAAAUAAUCACAUGACUCUCUUAUUCUAUUUCAUAGGUAAUCCAUUUUUUUUAAUGUGAAAUUUACUAAGGCCUACAUAUUUAUUUGGAUGCUUUUAACACUCCUGGAAUGUCUUUGUUAACUUUUUAAUCCACCCCAAUAUUUUGCUGAAUCUUUUACCUGUACAGUGUGUGGUCAG